UGGAACUCCUUAUACUAGAAAUUGUGAAGCAGAAUUCACCAAGUGUUGGAUUGUUCACCCACCAAUAGGGAACGUGAGCUGGGUUUAGACCGUCGUGAGACAGGUU
rnacentral:ncRNA from 1 species